GGAAUAUUGGACAAUGGGCGAAAGCCUGAUCCAGCCAUGCCGCGUGAGUGAUGAAGGCCCUAGGGUUGUAAAGCUCUUUCACCGGUGAAGAUAAUGACGGUAGCCGGAGAAGAAGCCCCGGCCAACUUCGUGCCAGCAGCCGCGGUAAUACGAAGGGGGCUAGCGUUGUUCGGAAUUACUGGGCGUAAAGCGCACGUAGGCGGAUUGUUAAGUGAGGGGUGAAAUCCCGGGGCUCAACCCCGGAACUGCCUUUCAUACUGGCAAUCUCGAGUCCGGAAGAGGUGAGUGGAAUUCCGAGUGUAGAGGUGAAAUUCGUAGAUAUUCGGAGGAACACCAGUGGCGAAGGCGGCUCACUGGUCCGGUACUGACGCUGAGGUGCGAAAGCGUGGGGAGCAAACAGGAUUAGAUACCCCGGUAGUCC
rnacentral:rRNA from 1 species